GUCCGCAGUUAUAGUUUUUCACAUAUACAUCUUUUUUAUAGCUCCUAAAAUGAGCAAAUAAGCUGUGGCAUCAUCUCUGUGAUUUGGAAAGGAAAUGACUGAAUAUGAUGGAGCCAGUUGAUGAAGAUAUCAAUUGAAUGGCCACCGAGUGCAUCACUGCUACCUGAACCCAUCAGUUAUCUGCUGUGAAGACUGCAUUCACAAACCGCUCUACUGCGACAGCUCAGAUGUUACGGCCUGUAAAAGUAAACAUCACAGCUAAACAACGAGAGCUAGUUGUGGUGGGAUUCUUUGGCCAAUAUCCCCAACAAGAAUCAAUGACAUCUAGACCAGGUGGAGUGUGAGGAGGACCGUCAGAGACUCCAGCCAGCCGAGCCAUGGAUUGCUCUCACUGUUACCAUCAGGCAUGCGUUAUCACAGAACCUACACCAGCAGACAGUGAGACAAGUUCCUUUCACAGGCAAUCAGACUGAACUGAACUCAUACAAAUAAAACCAUACACACCCCACCAACCUCAUAUGCCCUGCACUCUUAUCAGUUACGCUGACUGGACUCAAUAUUAUUAUGCACCCUGACAUUCUGUUUGCACUAAUUCAUACCGUGCUGCACUGCAGAGAUGUAUGUGUACUGUGAUUAUUAUUGUUUUCAAUUCAUGCUCUCUGUAUAGCAUAAUUUUUAACAUAUAUUGUUCUCUACCUGAAUUGAGUCCCUUAUAUAUGUGUGUUGCAUAUAUAUAUUCAGAAUUUGUAUUUCAUAUAUAUUCAUGAAUUAAUUCAUUUGUCAUCCAUACUGUCACGCUGCAGUCUGCACCCAAGACUUUCAUCACCUGUAUACUUGUGUUCAUUGUAUUGUGACAAUAAAGAUAUUUGAUUUAAAUUA